CCUGGGGCUCCUGUGAAAACACUGGUGUCUGGGCCAACCAUGGAGUGUCUGGGUGGGGCCUGGGGGUCUGCACUUCUAACAGUUUCCCAGGGACAGUGCAGUUGCUGGCCUGGAGCAUGCUCGGCUGAGGACCGCUGCUCUGAUGCGUGGAGAAGAAACAUGAAGUCCGCAGCUGCCCACAUUCAGGGAAGAUCUUUGAAAGCUCUUCAGACAGUGCCACCCAUCUUCAUGAAGCUGAUCCCCGGAUCUCACUCGCUUGUUUCUCCUCCUUCACCUGCUGAUGAUCAAUGUAGACUUUAGCCCUCAGAAGCUCUCAAAAGUCCAGCGCAGAACUGCAUAAAGAAAGAGGAGCGCUCGGCCAUGCCGCACAGGUCCGGGAGGUUCGCGUUAAUGUACCCUGUUUUUGAGCCCAAGGAACAAGUAUUUAGUCAUGAUUGCCACUCGUUAUAGGCUCUGUUAACAGUGUAAAGAAAGUUGGAAGUUCUCUCCUGAGAAGAAGUAACUUCAAUGCGGAAGGACCCGGGCUUCUCAUGUUUCUCUUUGUAUCCCGACCGCCGGGAACUGCCUUACCUGCAGCUACAAAGUCCUGCAAGUGAGGCUUAGGACCCAGAUCUUGUGAACUGUUUUCACAUUUCCCCAUGGAUGCCUAGCAAGGGACUGGGACUGCCUGAUCCGCUUUGGUCAAGAGCACGUGGGUGGCCUGUGUGCAGGCUUAUCAUCAAUAAUUGCAGGACUUGGUGGAGUAUGGUUGAACAGGUGCUCAGACUGCAUGCGUGUCUAGCGAGGCCAUCCUGAAGCUGCAUGGGAGUUGUAAAAAAGUUACCAACAAGUUUUUAGUUAUUUGAAUAGGUUUUUGAAUAGAUUUGGAAUGUGGGAAGCAGUUGCAGAAAUAAACGUCUUAAUGACUAAA
rnacentral:lncRNA from 1 species